AAUAAAAAUAAUGAAAAUGAAGGAGAGAGUGUAGAAAGUUUCUCACUUGAGAUACUUUUUACAACCCAUCAUGACAAUUUUCAUUUUAUU